rnacentral:rRNA from 1 species
UACGUAGGGGGCAAGCGUUGUCCGGAAUCACUGGGCGUAAAGCGCGCGUAGGCGGACCUGCAAGUCGGGGGUGAAAGCCCGAGGCUCAACCUCGGAACUGCCUUCGAUACUGCGGGUCUCGAGUCCGGGAGAGGUGAGUGGAAUUCCUAGUGUAGAGGUGAAAUUCGUAGAUAUUAGGAAGAACACCAGUGGCGAAGGCGGCUCGCUGGCCCGGUACUGACGCUGAGGCGCGAAAGCGUGGGGAGCAAACAGG